UGAGGAAUAUUGGUCAAUGGGCGAGAGCCUGAACCAGCCAAGUCGCGUGAAGGAUGACUGUCUUAUGGAUUGUAAACUUCUUUUAUACGGGAAUAACAAGAGUCACGUGUGACUCCCUGCAUGUACCGUAUGAAUAAGCAUCGGCUAACUCCGUGCCAGCAGCCGCGGUAAUACGGAGGAUGCGAGCGUUAUCCGGAUUUAUUGGGUUUAAAGGGUGCGUAGGCGGUUUGUUAAGUCAGCGGUGAAAUCUAGAGGCUCAACCUCGAAACUGCCGUUGAAACUGGCGAACUUGAGUGUAGAUGAGGUAGGCGGAAUUCGUGGUGUAGCGGUGAAAUGCAUAGAUAUCACGAGGAACUCCAAUUGCGAAGGCAGCUUACUAAGGUACAACUGACGCUGAAGCACGAAAGCGUGGGUAUCAAACAGGAUUAGAUACCCUGGUAGUCCACGCAGUAAACGAUGAUAACUGGGCGUAUGCGAUAUACAGUAUGCUCCUAAGCGAAAGCGUUAAGUUAUCCACCUGGGGAGUACGCCGGCAACGGUGA
rnacentral:rRNA from 1 species